rnacentral:lncRNA from 1 species
CACACUCCACAGUCAAUUAACAAGCAACUCUGAUUCUUCCAAAAAAUUAUAUGCUUAAGGGUUUCAUAGAACAACAAAGAAAACAGCAACCACAAUCCCAAAAAACAGCAACAACUUUCAGAUUCCAAUCAAGCAACACACUGAAUAACAAAAAAAAAAGAGGGACAAACUGAAUAACAAAAAAAGAGGGACAAAACUGGGCUUAGCUGUCGGUAGAGGGAGAGGGGCUAGGUCGGCUCAAAUCGAAAGCUAUAAAGCAAAGGUGGCUGCAUCGACAUGGGAGAGGCAGAGGUGGCUUGGCACAAGAGAAGGUCCGCAUGGGAGAGCGCAGCACGAGAGAAGGUUCGUAUGGCGUGGCUCAGCAUGGGCAAGUCUCGACGGCAUAAGUGGGCAUGGGAGAAGUAGAGCAAAGGUGGGUCAGUAUGGGAGAUGGUUAAUACAGGAGAGGGUCGGCACGGGAGAGGCAAUGGUAGGUCGGCAUGGGAGAGGUAGAGGUGGGGGUGGUUGGCACGGGAGAGGCAGAGCAAGGUGAAAAGAAGAGAAAAGGGAGAAAUGCCCCAAAAGAAAACACUAAAA